GAUGAACGCUGGCGGCGUGCCUAAUACAUGCAAGUCGAGCGAACAGACGAGGAGCUUGCUCCUUUGACGUUAGCGGCGGACGGGUGAGUAACACGUGGAUAACCUACCUAUAAGACUGGGAUAACUUCGGGAAACCGGAGCUAAUACCGGAUAACAUGUUGAACCGCAUGGUUCAACAGUGAAAGACGGUCUUGCUGUCACUUAUAGAUGGAUCCGCGCCGCAUUAGCUAGUUGGUAAGGUAACGGCUUACCAAGGCAACGAUGCGUAGCCGACCUGAGAGGGUGAUCGGCCACACGGGAACUGAGACACGGUCCAGACUCCUACGGGAGGCAGCAGUAGGGAAUCUUCCGCAAUGGGCGAAAGCCUGACGGAGCAACGCCGCGUGAGUGAAGAAGGUCUUCGGAUCGUAAAACUCUGUUAUUAGGGAAGAACAAAUGUGUAAGUAACUAUGCACGUCUUGACGGUACCUAAUCAGAAAGCCACGGCUAGCUACGUG
rnacentral:rRNA from 1 species